AAGUCCAGGAAACUUCUAUAUAAUUUUGUAGGAGAAAAAGUAUUUGACCAUUAGAUGGCACUCUGUAUCACUUUCCACUUUUUAAAGUUCUUUUAUUUUCUCUUUUAAUUAUAUUAAACAUUAAUUUCCAAACAUUUCCACAAUUAAUUUUCUUAAUAUUAACCAAUUCCAGGCUAGUCCAGAAUUUAAUCCAAUGCCUAAUUAAUGCCAGUUUAUAUUACGCAAAGUUUAGUCUCUAAUUUCAUUGUAGCUUUUUAUGAACCAAUUUUGUUUACCUUGUAUUUUCCUCUUUUUUUUCUGUUCGCCGCUAUGUACUCUUACGCGAGGGCACUUUCUUUUUACUUCUCGGAGUUAUUGAAUGCAAAAGGUCCAAU